AGGGUAUGGCUGUUCGCCAUUUAAAGUGGUACGCGAGCUGGGUUUAGAACGUCGUGAGACAGUUCGGUCCCUAUCUACCGUGGGCGUUCGAGAUUUGAGAGGAGCUACUCCUAGUACGAGAGGACCGGAGUGGACGUACCUCUGGUGUUCCGGUUGUCACGCCAGUGGCAUUUGCCGGGUAGCUAUGUACGGACAGGAUAACCGCUGAAAGCAUCUAAGCGGGAAGCCUCCCUCAAGAUGAGAUCUCGCACUCGUGCUUGCACGAGUCUAAAGGUUCGUUGGAGACUACAACGUUGAUAGGCAAGGUGUGGAAGCGCAGUAAUGUGUGGAGCUAACUUGUACUAAUUAACCGUGAGACUUUCCAUACAACCUUAAAUGGUUUCA
rnacentral:rRNA from 1 species